AGAGAGUGUACGAACGGCCUCAAUUGAACGGUUUGUGGCGUGCCGUAAACAACAAGUGUCGAUUCCCUGCACUCUCUUCCGUAUCGUGUCCACACCUUUCUAAGGGUAGAUGGUGUCUGUUCCCUGAAACUAAAAGUCAAUUAGUGUAGUUUCCGAAGAUUGCUGCUCGCUUUCUUAGGAACUUUCCCUUCGAAGUCAACUCGUGCGUGAAUGCGUGUGUCAAUUAUCGAAUCGUUCUUCGGUUCGGUUUUACGAAGCCCAUCCUUGUGAACCCCAGUGUGUGUGUGUGUAAUUAAUACCUUCAUCUUCCAUUCAAACCUUCCACCAAGACGGAAACAGGACGAAAGCCUGAUCGACUCAGUGGCUCAGUGCCGUGUCGAGCCGCAACCAUUAUUCGCUCAUUAUCCUUGUGUGCGUGUGAAAAAGGGAUCCAGAUUUUCCAACGGCCCGCUCGGUCAACCUCGGUGAAGUGCAUUCCAGAAGCGUGUUUUGUGGGCUACGUGUGAGUGAAGUUGUGUGUGUGUGCAAUACGACUCGUCUAAACGACCAUGGUGCGCCAUCGAGAACGUCGCCCAGCCAAGCCGGGCCUGGGUGUGGCCGGCAUCCUGUUGAUUGCCAUUGGAUUAGUGGGAAAACUUUGCACCGCAAAUGGGGCCAGCACGGUCCACCGGCAGCGGAAUGUAGCGCUGGGCAAAUCGACAACCACGCCCGCCCAGCUCUACUUUGAUGCCGUUGCACCGGAAGAUCGUGAAAACUUCAUCAAAUACCAUCUGGACCGUGCCCUGGAAGGGCGUUUACCUCACCACACGAGCAGCAUACCGAAGGACUUUGAGUUCGUUACCUACCAGGCCAGCUUUUCAUCUCUUUCGCAGCAAAACCGAACGGAACCAGGCGAUCAACAGGGUACGGGCUCGUUGCUGCAACUGCUGGAGGAAGCCAAUGGUACCAAGCUGACGCCGUCCGUCGUCGUCGUUGGGUCGUCGUUCAUUAGAUAUUCGAUCGUCUGCUACCGGUCCGGAUGCAUCGACACGAGUGACAUCGGUAACAUCUGCUGCCCUUUCUGAAGAAAAACCCCGGGUACCACCACCGGGCAUCCAUCGAUGGCCAGUGCUUACCAGCCAGGAUAUAUAUGCAGCGAAAAUAACGUCAUCUAACCCCCACACAAACACACACACACGAGAAUUGCUUCAUACAGCUUCACCUGUGCUGCUGCUGCUUGCUUUUACCAUCCAUGCAUGAAAGCUUCGUGGUAGUUAAAUUUCCUGAUGCGCUCGAGCCGGAAAAUUUUUCCACCAACCUGUUGGAUCAUUUUAUGAUCGCUUACGGUCUGUCGGAGGUGGACGUGUACGCGUUUGUGGCGCUGAAUGUGAUUUGCUUUCCCUCCGGCUGGUGUUUCCACCCGGA